GCGACCCCAGGUCAGGCGGGACUACCCGCUGAAUUUAAGCAUAUAAAUAAGCG
rnacentral:rRNA from 1 species